rnacentral:rRNA from 1 species
UACGUAGAAGACUAGUGUUAUUCAUCUUUAAUAGGUUUAAAGGGUACCUAGACGGUAUAUUUAGUCUUUAACAGGAUACGAUUAUACUAGAGUUAUAUAUGAGGAGGUGAGUAUUUAUGGAGUAGAGUUGAAAUUCUUUGAUACCAUGACGACUGGUAACGGCGAAAGCAACCUUUUAUCUAAUAACUGACGUUGAGGGACGAAGGCUCGGGUAACGAACAGGAUUAAGACUACCCGUGU